rnacentral:lncRNA from 1 species
AUCCACUUAUCAAUGAGUGCAUACCAUGUGUGUUCUUUUGUGAUUAGAUUACCUCAGUCAGGAUGAUAUUUUUUAACCUUUAAGAGCAAAAAUAUAUUAUAGAAAUAAAAAAAAAUAGGGAAUCAAUAUGGAGGUCUGCAUCUGGUAAGCAUUGUUUUUGUUAGCUAUUCACAAACCCUCUUUCAUCUUCUCUUGAUUUUAUUUUUCUUUAAAUAAAAUUAGAAUUAUACUAAAUAUUCAAAAAUCCAGCAUUUAGUCAGCAGUUGUUUGUGCUACUCACUAUGGCUAUGGGAUCCUGGAUGUAGAAAACCAAGCACCCGUGGUGAAAUGAGUAUUUCAGUCUUGACUGCUCACAGAGGAGACUCCUGCUAUGCCCAGAUCAUUUCUAGGUGUUCAAGUUGAUACAUGGAAUAGAAUUGAGGGUUUAUGCUGCUUAAUGAGUUAGGGAAAGUUGGGGGGUUGUUACCUCCUAACCCAGCUUUUAGAGGAGCAGCUCUAUUUGCUACAACUCAGCAGGGCACACACUAGGCAGGCACUUGCUCAUGUGAUUCUGCAGUUAGGCUAUUCUUAACUCCCUUGGGAACAAGUCCUCUUUCUCUUUCUACACACCCUAUUUUUUUUCUGUCUUUAACUUUUCCCCACCAUUUGCAGUAUUAUACUGUUGGUGAGUUCUUGGCCUUUCAUGCCAUGCUAUUAACUUUAUGACUAAAUUUAAUCUACAGACUUAAUAGGACCCUUCAUAAUUUUGUUAUGUAAGGUAAUGACAAGCGAGCUUAUUGUUAGACCUCGAAAUGCUCUUGCAAGAAUCUUUUAUGUAUACGAAGUCUAUUUCACCACUAAAUAUGACUCUACAACUGAGUAAAGUAUAAUGAUUACAUCUUCCUAAACCUUAGCACCAUGUCUCAUUGUGUAUUACACAUAUAAAAUAUGUCAGAACCAUACUUAUCUUUGAGAUUUUUGCCAAUUAAUAAUUAAUUUUCAAUAAAUUUAUCUAUAUGUUACUAACUAUGAUAGGACUGUAGAAUUUCCAAAUUCAUUCUCUUGGGUUACUUUGACCAUUUUUGUAAUUUAUGACAGAGUGAAAUUUACAAACUGGAGGUGACAAUAUCAUGCAGAGAGGGAAAACUAUACUGCAAUGUGGUACACUUCCCUACUAGUCUUUGUCUAUUUUUAUUAAAUAUUCCAUUUGUAUGACUUAAGGGAUUAUUUAAAAUGAGGGGUUAGAAUGCAAUAGCUUUCAAAAGUAUGCAUAUAUUUCUAUCAUUUGGAUUUAAUUAAGUAAUAUUUUUUGAGAACUUAGGGAUAACAAUGUAAAAACAUCAAAAUAUUCAUGGCAUGGCUGGAAAUGUAGCUUACUAAAAGAGGGAUUUCAUAGCAUUUGGUGUCCUUACCUCUAAUAUCCAGAGCCCACCCAUAUGGCAGGAGGAUAUUUCAGUGGUACAAUACUUUUCUGGCCAGUUAAAGGCACAAGAUUCUGUCCCUAGCACC